GAUGAACGCUAGCUACAGGCUUAACACAUGCAAGUCGAGGGGCAGCAUGGUCUUAGCUUGCUAAGGCCGAUGGCGACCGGCGCACGGGUGAGUAACACGUAUCCAACCUGCCGUCUACUCUUGGACAGCCUUCUGAAAGGAAGAUUAAUACAAGAUGGCAUCAUGAGUCCGCAUGUUCACAUGAUUAAAGGUAUUCCGGUAGACGAUGGGGAUGCGUUCCAUUAGAUAGUAGGCGGGGUAACGGCCCACCUAGUCUUCGAUGGAUAGGGGUUCUGAGAGGAAGGUCCCCCACAUUGGAACUGAGACACGGUCCAAACUCCUACGGGAGGCAGCAGUGAGGAAUAUUGGUCAAUGGGCGAGAGCCUGAACCAGCCAAGUAGCGUGAAGGAUGACUGCCCUAUGGGUUGUAAACUUCUUUUAUAAAGGAAUAAAGUCGGGUAUGCAUACCCGUUUGCAUGUACUUUAUGAAUAAGGAUCGGCUAACUCCGUGCCAGCAGCCGCGGUAAUACGGAGGAUCCGAGCGUUAUCCGGAUUUAUUGGGUUUAAAGGGAGCGUAGAUGGAUGUUUAAGUCAGUUGUGAAAGUUUGCGGCUCAACCGUAAAAUUGCAGUUGAUACUGGAUAUCUUGAGUGCAGUUGAGGCAGGCGGAAUUCGUGGUGUAGCGGUGAAAUGCUUAGAUAUCACGAAGAACUCCGAUUGCGAAGGCAGCCUGCUAAGCUGCAACUGACAUUGAGGCUCGAAAGUGUGGGUAUCAAACAGGAUUAGAUACCCUGGUAGUCCACACGGUAAACGAUGAAUACUCGCUGUUUGCGAUAUACGGCAAGCGGCCAAGCGAAAGCGUUAAGUAUUCCACCUGGGGAGUACGCCGGCAACGGUGAAACUCAAAGGAAUUGACGGGGGCCCGCACAAGCGGAGGAACAUGUGGUUUAAUUCGAUAAUACGCGAGGAACCUUACCCGGGCUUAAAUUGCAGAUGAAUUACGGUGAAAGCCGUAAGCCGCAAGGCAUCUGUGAAGGUGCUGCAUGGUUGUCGUCAGCUCGUGCCGUGAGGUGUCGGCUUAAGUGCCAUAACGAGCGCAACCCUUGUUGUCAGUUACUAACAGGUCAUGCUGAGGACUCUGACAAGACUGCCAUCGUAAGAUGUGAGGAAGGUGGGGAUGACGUCAAAUCAGCACGGCCCUUACGUCCGGGGCUACACACGUGUUACAAUGGGGGGUACAGAGGGCCGCUACCACGCGAGUGGAUGCCAAUCCCAAAAACCUCUCUCAGUUCGGACUGGAGUCUGCAACCCGACUCCACGAAGCUGGAUUCGCUAGUAAUCGCGCAUCAGCCACGGCGCGGUGAAUACGUUCCCGGGCCUUGUACACACCGCCCGUCAAGCCAUGGGAGCCGGGGGUACCUGAAGUGCGUAACCGCGAGGAGCGCCCUAGGGUAAAACUGGUGACUGGGGCU
rnacentral:rRNA from 1 species